AGUUUCCCCAUCAUUCAUGAGAGCAGCGCCACCAUGAGGAGACUUGAAGCAGCGGCGCCUGGCUUUUCUUUUUCACCACACACACACACGCACACACACCCACAGACACACACACACACCAGAGGAAUCUGCUUUGCAAAUAUUGUGGGGCUCAGGUGGUGUUUGCUCGUCCCAUCACUGGUGCCGCUCGUCCGCCUUCACCUCCCGUUAGUUUGAUUGAUCCUUUCACCGGGCGACACGGCAAAGUCAUCACACGGGGAACAAAUGGUUCAGACUUUUGGUGCUGAUCUACCGUGUGGGCGUGGCCUCAGUUGGGAGAGGCGUGGAAUCACGAGGACCUUCCUCCGUCCUGCUGACGACAGGAAACACAGGAACUACGUUUGUAAAGUAAGUUCUUUUAUUUUUCCCCCUUUAAACAACUUA